GAAAUUAGCGCUGUGGAACCACCCGAUCCCAUCCCGAACUCGGAAGUGAAACGCAGCUGCGCCGAUGGUAGUGUGGCUCAAGCCAUGCGAGAGUAGGUCAUCGCC
rnacentral:rRNA from 10 species